rnacentral:rRNA from 1 species
CUUGCCUAGACAUAAGAGGUCCAGCCUGCCCAGUGACAUAGUUUAACGGCCGCGGUACCCUAACCGUGCGAAGGUAGCAUAAUCACUUGUUCUUUAAAUAGGGACUCGUAUCAACGGCAUCACGAGGGCUGUACUGUCUCCUUUCUCCAAUCAGUGAAACUGAUUUCCCCGUGAAGAAGCGAGGAUAAACCUAUAAGACGAGAAGACCCCAUGGAGCUUUAAACCCAUCACACACCUCUAAGCACUUAAAACAAUAUAGCCCAAGGGACUUGUGUGUUGGUUUUAGGUUGGGGGGACCGCGGAGUAAAAUUAAACCUCCACGACAGACGGACUAACACCCUUAUCCAUGAACUACAAUUCUAAGAGCCAAUAAAUUGUUGUCUAAUGACCCAAUUAUAUGAUCAAC